rnacentral:rRNA from 1 species
CCCUUAGAUGUUCUGGGCUGCACGCGCGCUACACUGAUGCAAUCAACGAGUUUACGACCUUGCCCGAUAGGGUUGGGUAAUCUUUUUAAAAUGCAUCGUGAUGGGGAUAGAUUAUUGCAAUUAUUAAUCUUCAACGAGGAAUUCCUAGUAAGCGCGAGUCAUCAGCUCGUGCUGAUUACGUCCCUGCCCUUUGUACACACCGCCCGUCGCUCCUACCGAUUGAGUGCUCAGGUGAAUAAUUCGGACUGCAGCAAUGUUUGGAUCCCGAACGUUGCAGCGGAAAGUUUAGUGAACCUUAUCACUUAGAGGAAGGAGAAGUCGUAACA